rnacentral:rRNA from 1 species
CAGCAGCCGCGGUAAUACGGAGGGAGCUAGCGUUGUUCGGAAUUACUGGGCGUAAAGCGCGCGUAGGCGGUUACUCAAGUCAGAGGUGAAAGCCCGGGGCUCAACCCCGGAACUGCCUUUGAAACUAGGUGACUAGAAUCUUGGAGAGGUCAGUGGAAUUCCGAGUGUAGAGGUGAAAUUCGUAGAUAUUCGGAAGAACACCAGUGGCGAAGGCGACUGACUGGGCAAGUAUUGACGCUGAGGUGCGAAAGCGUGGGGAGCAAACAGGAUUAGAUACCCCUGUAGUCCCUGUCUCUUAUAA